rfam:Candidatus Yanofskybacteria bacterium RIFCSPLOWO2_02_FTLL_47_9b rifcsplowo2_02_scaffold_5869, whole genome shotgun sequence.
GGAGGAGUCGGAUAAUGGUUAUUCCACCGGUUUGCUAAACCGGGGUCGCCUUAAAAGCGAUUUGUGGGUUCAAGUCCCACCUCCUCCG